rnacentral:tRNA from 1 species
GUGCCCGUGGCGCAACGGUAGCGCAAAGGACUUUUAAUCCUUAGGUUGUGGGUUCGAAUCCCACCGGGCACACCA